GUGAAGGUUCAUAAUUAGAAAGUGAAUAACGUGAUUACAUAACUACAUUGCAGACAUUCUAUAAAUGUGACUUUUCAUUGACUUAUAGUGAACAAUCAGUCAAACAUUAUUUCUCAUACAAAAGAGAUCACGAAAAAAAAGCAAUAGCUAGAUAAAUUAUAAUAUAUACUUUCAAUAUUCAUUAUUUUUAACGUAAUAUCAAUUUCAGGCCAAGUCAGUCGUUCGCGUUUCUACUCUAUAAACACUUGACAAUUUGAACUUUAUUGUGCUAUUGUGUUUUGUUUGAAACUGUUUGAUGAGUGCAGCUUACUUAACAGGACUGUCUUCACUCCGAAUAAUAUAGAAGGAGGUAACCAAGAUAAUUGAAUAUUGCUAACUGUAGCUACGCAUGUAAACCUAUUUCAUCGAUUUUUUUCGAAUUGAUUUUCGAGGAUCGUUUACUUAUUGCCACUUUUUAUUCCUCUGAUCGAGAAAUUAAAAUAAGUGGUGUAAAUACUGGUGUACACAUUAGUGUCUAUUCCGGUGUCAUACCACACGUACUAGAUUUUGUAAAUAGUUUCUAUGCAAUUGUGCUUGAAUAGAAAAAGUUUAAUUCAAGUCAUGGGCCUCGUCUCGUGUGUUUAUUCUUUGUUUUUGUAUUUACAACUUGUUAACUAGUUUUUUAAGAAGUACUUAAGUUAUAAAGAAUAAAUUUGAGUGUCAAAAUAUCCAUCUUAAAAUGACUUUACUUAACAUUAAACCGACAAUUUUCUGGUAAAGUUCUAAGCAGAUAUGUGUUAUGGUAAUAUAUAAUUGGUUUGUCUGAUAUUUUUCAUUGACCUACUUUCAAUUCAAUUAUGUCUUACUAUGUGUGCUGGAUAUACAACUAAAUAGAAGUAUUCUCUUUAUAAUUAUUAUUCCGAACGGAUGAUAUACUGAUGUUUUGUAUAUGAUUUUGAACAAAGGAACGAGUCUGUCUAAUUCAACCGGCCUUUGUAAUCAUCACUUUCGUCGAGGAGCAAGGUUUUCUGUUCCUCUUUAAUAUUAUAAUAGGAAGAUAUGAUAAGAUUUUUAAAUGAAGCAACCCUUAACAUGAAUUCAUAUGAUAUAGAAGGUAAGUAACUUUAGAUUGAGGUACGUCCUUAACAAUGAGCGAAAUACAUACCGCAUAAUAAAAACUAUAAAAGGCCCGAAACCACAAAUGUAAAUCAUUCAGUCGUAUUAACAGAUUGAUUUUUUUUUUUAUUAUAUUUGUUCUGAAAUAUUACUCCAGAUCAAUGUGUGUAAUGUCAUGUUACAUGAUAACAUCAUGCAGUAUAUUUGUGAAAAAAAUCUUCCUUCUUCCGACUAUCUUUGAACAAAAGAGGUUUAACCCUGUCCAAUUUUUUUUUAGAUUGGGUUCCAAAAGGGGUUAUUUUCUAGUAGACAAAGGGUUGCAAAUAAUAAGGAUUUGAAGUACCAUUUGUAUACGCAGUACAUGUUUCAGAUUGAACGAUUCUAUUCAUUUUCGUAUAAUCAGCUAAUCAGUCUUUAUAAUAAAACGCUCUUAAUGCACGUCUGACACAUAUUUAGGAAUAGCAGACAAAACAAUUUAAUAACAAACAAAAACGUCAUUUUCGGAUGUUUACAUAAUUUCCUC
rnacentral:lncRNA from 1 species